UGCCCUAAAACCUUAAUGGGAAUGAGUUCC
rnacentral:piRNA from 1 species